CCUGCCCCGCCUUCGGGAGGCAGCAGUAGGGAAUCUUCGGCAAUGGACGAAAGUCUGACCGAGCAACGCCGCGUGAGUGAAGAAGGUUUUCGGAUCGUAAAACUCUGUUGUUAGAGAAGAACAAGGAUGAGAGUAACUGUUCAUCCCUUGACGGUAUCUAACCAGAAAGCCACGGCUAACUACGUGCCAGCAGCCGCGGUAAUACGUAGGUGGCAAGCGUUGUCCGGAUUUAUUGGGCGUAAAGCGAGCGCAGGCGGUUUCUUAAGUCUGAUGUGAAAGCCCCCGGCUCAACCGGGGAGGGUCAUUGGAAACUGGGAGACUUGAGUGCAGAAGAGGAGAGUGGAAUUCCAUGUGUAGCGGUGAAAUGCGUAGAUAUAUGGAGGAACACCAGUGGCGAAGGCGGCUCUCUGGUCUGUAACUGACGCUGAGGCUCGAAAGCGUGGGGAGCAAACAGGAUUAGAUACCCUGGUAGUCCACGCCGUAAACGAUGAGUGCUAAGUGUUGGAGGGUUUCCGCCCUUCAGUGCUGCAGCUAACGCA
rnacentral:rRNA from 1 species